rnacentral:lncRNA from 1 species
CUCUUUGGUAACUCGACGGCAGAGAGACAGCCCACCUGCCCAAAGCGCGAUUUCUGCCAGGGCACGCUAGCGCGCUUAGCCCUCCACGGUGCGGCGAGAGAAACACGGUUCUCUCGGCGGUCUGUGGACGGAUUCUGCGCAAAAACCUGCGCGUUUCUUCCACUUUGGAUUUCAAACGGCGGAGGCCUGCACAGCCAGAGAAAGUUCUGUGGAAGACGAGUCAGGGCGAUGGCCGCGGUGCUCAGGCAAGACACGCGGGUGUAUCUCUCCCUCGGCGUUUCUCCCGCUCGAGAUUUUCGGAGGGAAACCGAAUGGCCAGUUUUUCCUCGCAAGCACACACAAGUUGGCGAACGCGUAAAAACGUGGAUCGCCGAGAAGGCACCCUUUUCCACUUUUCCGGAAAAGUAUGAACAACGGGCUAGUCAGCGGGCGCCCGACCACUCGACAACGCUCGCACGCCAGCGUGGCCAGGAGGCGCGAGCGACGCGGAUUUUUGCGAGGCGCACUGGAGAGUUGCAAGAGAGACAGACCGAAGGUUUUCGCGUUUUUUUUCCGCCGCAGAGCGGUACACACUCCGCCAAACUGGGCCAACUACACGACGCGCCUGUGCCUCGAAUGCGCCUGGAACGAUUUUUGUCGGCGAUGGUGUUCCCACAAAGGCGCGUCACGGAGUUCGGCGAGGGAGAGUAUCUCGCACAACACACUUUUUGAAAGCGGAAAACUCCCGUCGAACCCUCGAGCGUCUCCACACAAAAUCUGCUGGCGAAACGAAGGUUGGCACGUGCGAAUCGGCUCGGAAGGGGAUUGGGAGAGACAGCGAGGGAUUCAGAGAAGGACAGGAAUGAACGGCGGAAAUAGCGAAGGAACCAGUGAUACAUACAGAAGACAGAGAGAUGAAGCAAGAGAGAAAAACUGCGAAAGUAGAGAGGACAAAGCGGUGACCACCUUUGUGUUCGCUUCUCCGUUGUUUCUUUGGAAAACGAGAUAUACCGAAUACCGAGAGACCGGGCAGAAUUCAUUAACCAGAGAAAGUGUCGGAGACUGUCCCCCGCACAAGCGAGAAGUGAUGAGGCUUUUUCAUGUGAGACAAAAUGAGGUGGCAUCCAGAUCUAGAAAUAAAUGAAGAGAAACAUGUAUAUGCGUGUUGUGGUGGUACAGGCAGAUGCCAAUCCGCUUUUUUUUCGCGUAGUGUCGGCUGUGCUGCCUCACCAAAAAGAGGGAGUGUGGGGGGGGGGGGUAUCUCGGCUCUCGUUAACAACGUUUCUCUCGUAGAAGAAAAGAGAAUGAAAGGCGCGAAGGCUCCGGCUAGUAGAUUGAGCCUCGGGGCUCCUCUUGCUGGACACGCGGAGACGCCGGGAAAAGAACUGACUGGCGUCCGGAAGAACGGGAUGAAGAUGAAAGGGCGUCUACUUUCCUCCUCGUCGCUUGGAAAGAAAACAUGGUAUUGGGUUGUGCAGACGGAACUCAUGUUUCUAUGAAUCCCUGACCUCACUGGAC